GAAAGUCAAAACAAACACCAAUAAUGAUGGCAUUUGAAAGUGGACACUAUGAUGUUUAUCAUCUCCUUGUAUCUGAGGGCGCAGAUCUGACAACUAAUAGAUAAAACUAACACAAUUUGCGAUGUCGUUGCAUUGGAAACACUCUAAUGUUUGUGAUCUUGUCUUAGGUGAAACAUAUCUGGAAGCUGAAUAUCUGUAUAUAACACUGUGUCGUGGUGUAGGUGACAUUGUAGUAUACUAUCGUGUUAUACUAUGGCAUUGUUUAGCUUUGGUGUACAUGUCAUAUAUAUAGUUGUGUAUUGCUGCAUGUACCAGCGUAUAGGGUUGUAGAAGUGUAUAUAGCAUGGUACUAUUUUCAAGUAUUGUAACCUUAGUGGAUUCUGGUAUGAAUGUAUGCAUGACAUAUUGCAUACACUGUAUGACAUGAUGUUUUAUACAGUGUACGCCACCCGAUUGAUGUAACCUGGCACUGGAUAAGUGGGAACCACAGCACUGUGUAUACAGCAUUGUACAGUG